UUCUACAAGGUAUGAUUUUGAGCUCAUGUA
rnacentral:piRNA from 1 species